AUUGAACGCUGGCGGCAGGCCUAACACAUGCAAGUCGAACGAGUGGCGGACGGGUGAGUAAUGUCUGGGAAACUGCCUGAUGGAGGGGGAUAACUACUGGAAACGGUAGCUAAUACCGCAUACCAUCGGAUGUGCCCCGAUGGGAUUAGCUAGUUGGUGGGGUAACGGCUCACCAGGGCGACGAUCCCUAGCUGGUCGGAGAGGAUGACCAGCAACACGGGAACUGCGACAUGGUCCAGACUCCUACGGGAGGCAGCAGUGGGGAAUAUUGCACAAUGGGCGCAAGCCUGAUGCAGCCAUGCCGCGUGUAUGAAGAAGGCCUUCGGGUUGUAAAGUACUUUCAGCGGGGAGGCGUUACCCGCAGAAGAAGCACCGGCUAACUCCGUGCCAGCCGCCGCGGUAAUUC
rnacentral:rRNA from 1 species